rnacentral:rRNA from 1 species
AUUGAACGCUGGCGGCAGGCUUAACACAUGCAAGUCGAGCGGGGGAAGGUAGCUUGCUACCGGACCCAGCGGCGGACGGGUGAGUAAUGCUUAGGAAUCUGCCUAUUAGUGGGGGACAACAUCUCGAAAGGGAUGCUAAUACCGCAUACGUCCUACGGGAGAAAGCAGGGGAUCUUCGGACCUUGCGCUAAUAGAUGAGCCUAAGUCGGAUUAGCUAGUUGGGGGGGUAAAGGCCUACCAAGGCGACGAUCUGUAGCGGGUCUGGGAGGAUGAUCCGCCACACUGGGACUGGGACACGGCCCAGACUCCUACGGGAGGCAGCAGUGGGGAAUAUUGGACAAUGGGGGGAACCCUGAUCCAGCCAUGCCGCGUGUGUGAAGAAGGCCUUAUGGUUGUAAAGCACUUUAAGCGAGGAGGAGGCUACUUUAGUUAAUACCUAGAGAUAGUGGACGUUACUCGCAGAAUAAGCACCGGCUAACUCUGUGCCAGCAGCCGCCGUAA